rnacentral:rRNA from 1 species
CAUGCAAGUCGUACGCACUGGCCCAACUGAUUGAUGGUGCUUGCACCUGAUUGACGAUGGAUCACCAGUGAGUGGCGGACGGGUGAGUAACACGUAGGUAACCUGCCCCGGAGCGGGGGAUAACAUUUGGAAACAGAUGCUAAUACCGCAUAACAACAAAAGCCACAUGGCUUUUGUUUGAAAGAUGGCUUUGGCUAUCACUCCGGGAUGGACCUGCGGUGCAUUAGCUAGUUGGUAAGGUAACGGCUUACCAAGGCGAUGAUGCAUAGCCGAGUUGAGAGACUGAUCGGCCACAAUGGAACUGAGACACGGUCCAUACUCCUACGGGAGGCAGCAGUAGGGAAUCUUCCACAAUGGGCGCAAGCCUGAUGGAGCAACACCGCGUGAGUGAAGAAGGGUUUCGGCUCGUAAAGCUCUGUUGUUGGAGAAGAACGUGCGUGAGAGUAACUGUUCACGCAGUGACGGUAUCCAACCAGAAAGUCACGGCUAACUACGUGCCAGCAGCCGCGGUAAUACGUAGGUGGCAAGCGUUAUCCGGAUUUAUUGGGCGUAAAGCGAGCGCAGGCGGUUGCUUAGGUCUGAUGUGAAAGCCUUCGGCUUAACCGAAAAAGUGCAUCGGAAACCGGGCGACUUGAGUGCAGAAGAGGACAGUGGAACCCAUGUGUAGCGGUGGAAUGCGUAGAUAUAUGGAAGAACACCAGUGGCGAAGGCGGCUGUCUGGUCUGCAACUGACGCUGAGGCUCGAAAGCAUGGGUAGCGAACAGGAUUAGAUACCUGGUAGUCCAUGCCGUAAACGAUGAGUGCUAGGUGUUGGAGGGUUUCCGCCCUUCAGUGCCGGAGCUAACGCAUUAAGCACUCCGCCUGGGGAGUACGACCGCAAGGUUGAAACUCAAAGGAAUUGACGGGGGCCCGCACAAGCGGUGGAGCAUGUGGUUUAAUUCGAAGCUACGCGAAGAACCUUACCAGGUCUUGACAUCUUGCGCUAACCUUAGAGAUAAGGCGUUCCCUUCGGGGACGCAAUGACAGGUGGUGCAUGGUCGUCGUCAGCUCGUGUCGUGAGAUGUUGGGUUAAGUCCCGCAACGAGCGCAACCCUUGUUACUAGUUGCCAGCAUUAAGUUGGGCACUCUAGUGAGACUGCCGGUGACAAACCGGAGGAAGGUGGGGACGACGUCAGAUCAUCAUGCCCCUUAUGACCUGGGCUACACACGUGCUACAAUGGACGGUACAACGAGUCGCAAGCUCGCGAGAGUAAGCUAAUCUCUUAAAGCCGUUCUCAGUUCGGACUGUAGGCUGCAACUCGCCUACACGAAGUCGGAAUCGCUAGUAAUCGCGGAUCAGCAUGCCGCGGUGAAUACGUUCCCGGGCCUUGUACACACCGCCCGUCACACCAUGGGAGUUUGUAACGCCCAAAGUCGGUGGCCUAACCUUUAUGGAGGGAGCCGCCUAAGGCGGGACAGAUGACUGGGGUGAAGUC